rnacentral:rRNA from 1 species
UACGUAGGGGGCAAGCGUUGUCCGGAAUCAUUGGGCGUAAAGAGCGUGUAGGCGGCCUGAUAAGUCGGUUGUGAAAGUCAAGGGCUCAACCCUUGAAUGCCGACCGAUACUGUCAGGCUAGAGUCCGGAAGAGGCGAGUGGAAUUCCUGGUGUAGCGGUGAAAUGCGCAGAUAUCAGGAGGAACACCUAUGGCGAAGGCAGCUCGCUGGGACGUUACUGACGCUGAGACGCGAAAGCGUGGGGAGCAAACAGG